CCCUAGCCCUGAUAGCAGUAGAAAUCCUUUUCUUUUUUUUAAAAGAAAAGAUUGAAACGAAUAGCAGGAAUAGCU
rfam:Flavobacterium fryxellicola strain DSM 16209 FBFR19, whole genome shotgun sequence.